ensembl:snRNA U6 U6 spliceosomal RNA
GUACUUCCUUGGGCAGCCCAUAUACUAACAUUGGCAUCAUACAGAGAAGAUUAGCAUAGCCCUUGUACAAGAUUACAUGCAAAUUCAUGAAGUGUUCUUUAUUUUU